rnacentral:lncRNA from 1 species
CACACACACACAUACAUACAUACAUAUGAGUUAAUUGAGAGAUUGUUAUUUUUGAACCUUUGCUUUUUGCUACUUUCACACAACAAGUGCAACUUUCUUAAUUCAAGGAGUGAGAAUUGUUACAACAGCUAAUAUUGAGCAUAUGCUUCAUGGAUCAUAAUAUGACUGGAAUUUCUUUUGAAAAAAAAUGAUGGGCCUACAUAUUUACAUGGAUGCUUAAACAGGAAUGAAAGGUGAGGGAGAAGUAUAUCAUCUACAACCCUAGUUGUAAGAAAUCUGUAGUCUUAAGAUAUUACCAAUAUUAUGAAUUGAAUGAUAACAUCAAAAAGCCUUCAUCUCCCAUCCAACCAUGUUGCAACAUGCUCAUGUCAUUAGAACUUCUUGUGGCUGGAGUUGUAGAUGAACUCAAUCAUUGUUGGUUGACAGCGGCUUCACAGAAAAAUAAUUUAGUUAGUGAGUUUUGAAGAGAAACAACUUUUGGAAGAAUGAGACACCUUUUAGCCAUGUGUAUUAAGGACCUAAUCAAUGCUCAACUUCCUGCUGCUCUAUCUCUUUCUUUUCCUUUAUAUAAACAAAACUUACUGGUAAACUACUUCUAGGAGAAAAUAAGGGAAAAAAUUUAGGAUAGAAGGCCACCACCUCAACCAUAUACAUUUAUACGAAGAAUUCUCCUACACCAGCUACUUUUCAUUCAUCCAACUCUUCUGCUUCUUGUAUGAGGCCAUCUUCAAUGCUUUCAACAAAUACAAUCCAUCCUCAUAAAUCUACAACUAAACACACUGAUUAGGAAUACAAUGUCAAGGAUUUUCAUGCUCGUGACAACAAUAGAAGGAGGACUUCCAUCGAUAAAGGGGCCACCAGGUUAGAAAGCUACAAAGAAAGUAUUUUGAAUGUUUUUUUCUUUUAUUAACUCUAAAAUAUGUCAACAGACAUCAAAGGACACGAAGGUAUGAAGCUCAAUUAUGGGACAAAGAUGGUUUGAAUAACAACCAAAACAAAAAGGGAAAACAUGGUAAAAAACCAAACCACAACAUGAAAAGGAGAGAGAGAAUAUUUUUUAUAAAUUUUGAUAACAAUGUUUAUUUCUUUAACUUGCUAUUUUGUGACUAUUUUGUGCUAAUUGUUCUCAUAUGUGGGCCACCUGAUGGUGAUCUAAAUUUCUGAUCUCUGUGCUAAAUAUUGUUUAAUUGGAUAAAUCACCGACCUUUCUUUCAGCAAUAUCAUGUUAAUAAUACACACACACAC